UUUUUUUUUUUUUUUUUUUUUUUUUUUUUUCUUUUGUUGUCACGUUUUGCUGUCUUUGCCGUUCUUUAUGCUGUUAAAUCAGCAAGAGGAAUGUCUCUAUGUUCAGCUGUGUCAGCUUUCAAAACAACCAAUUCAAAAUGUUUUUCUCCUUCCUCCACUUCUUGUGUUUUAAAAU
rnacentral:ribozyme from 13 species